GUUAUACAGGUACUGUACAUGUCCAAUCAGAAUAUUGUGGAAAAUCUAUCAAUAUAUGCUGAUCCAUUGAUCCAAUACAAUCAGCAAUUGAAAAUUGCACAGAUCACCUGUUCAAAAGACUUGAGUCCAGCUUCUUUGCCCAGCUUCUGGAUGUCCUCCAAAAUGGCAUUCUUCACGUCCUGCCGGCAAUCACAGCAAACAUUGGCAUCCAAAGAAAUUGGGCUGCAGUGUUUUGGGGAAUGUUGUUGUCAAAAUAAAGUUGGUGUGAAUUCUGUUGUCAAAAUAAACUCACAAUGCUCUUG